AUGGGCAGGGGCCGACCGGAUCUGGAGCUUGAGGCGGCGGCGCUGGAGGUCCGGCCGACGCCACGAACAAAGCGGCGGCUGCUAGCGAUGGGGUCGAGCGAGGGAGAAGGUGGCGCGAGGGAGGAGAUGGGGAUCGGGGCGAGGAGCGAUGGGGCGCAGAGGUGGGAGAUGGAGGCGCUGCGGGAGGGAGAUGGGAUCGGGAGAAGGGUGCGGCUAGGGUUAGAAGGCAGGGGCCGGCUGGGCCUUGGGAUGCGGAUGGAGCAGGCUUGGCCUGGCUGCUGGGCUGCAGGGCUCCUUCUCUCUCUCUAUCUCUAA
rnacentral:rRNA from 1 species